rnacentral:rRNA from 1 species
CUGGGAGCACUUGCAACAGAGAGUUUGAUCCUCAUGGCUCAGAUUGAACGCUGGCGGGAUGCUUUACACAUGCAAGUCGAACGGCAGCACGGACUUCGGUCUGGUGGCGAGUGGCGAACGGGUGAGUAAUGGUAUCGGAACGUGCCUAGUAGCGGGGGAUAACUACGCGAAAGCAAGCACACCGCAUACGCCCUUCGGGGGAAAGCGGGGACCUUCGGGCCUCGCACUAUUAGAGCGGUCAGAUAUCGGAUUAGCUAGUUGGUGGGUAACGGCUCACCAAGGCGACGAUCCGUAGCUGGUUUGAGAGGGACGACCAGCCACACUGGGACUGGAGACACGGCCCAGACUCCUACGGAGGCAGCAGUGGGGAAUUUUGGACAAUGGGAAACUCCUGAUCCAGCCAUCCUGCGUGUGCGAUGAAGGCCUUCGGUUGUGAAGUAAUCUUUGGCAGUGAAAGAAAACGGUACGGGAUAAUACCGUGCAACUGACGGUACCUGCAGAAUAAGCACUGGCUAACUACGCCAGCAGCCGCGGUAAUACGUAGGGUGCAAGCGUUAAUCGGAAUUACUGGGCGCAAAGCGCGCAGGCGGUUCGGAAAGAAAGAUGUAAAAUCCCAGAGCUUAACUUUGGAACUGCAUUUUUAACUACCGAGCUAGAGUGUGUCAGAGGGAGGUGGAAUUCCGCGUAGCAGUGAAAUGCGUAGAUAUGCGGAGGAACACCGAUGGCGAAGGCAGCCUCCUGGGAUAACACUGACGCUCAUGCACGAAAAAAGCGUGGGAGCAAACAGGAUUAGAUACCCUGGUAGUCCACGCCCCAACGAUGUCAACUAGCCGUUGGGGCCUUCUGGCCUCGGUAGCGGCAGCUAAUGCGUGAAGUUGACCGCCUGGGGAGUACGGUCGCAAGAUUAAAACUCAAAGGAAUUGACGGGGACCUGCACAAGCGGUGGAUGAUGUGGAUUAAUUCGAUGCAACGCGAAAACCUUACCUACCCUUGACAUGUCUGGAAUCCCGAAGAGAUUUGGGAGUGUCUGCAAGAGAACCGGAACACAGGUGCUGCAUGGCUGUCGUCAGCUCGUGUCGUGAGAUGGGUUAAGUCCCGCAACGGCGCAACCCUUUGUCAUUGCUACGAGCGGGCACCCCAUCGAGACUGCCGGUGACAAACCGGAGGAAGGUGGGGAUGACGUCAAGUCCUCAUGGCCCUUAUGGGUAGGGCUUCACACGCCAUACAAUGGUCGGGACAGAGGGUCGCCAACCCGCGAGGGGAGCCAAUCCUAGAAACCCGAUCGUAGUCCGGAUCGCAGUCUGCAACUCGACUGCGUGAAGUCGGAAUCGCUAGUAAUCGCGAUCAGCAUGUCGCGCAGUCAUUGCCCGGGUCUUGUACACACCGCCCGUCACACCAUGGGAGUGGGUUCACAGAAGUAGUUAGCCUAACCGUAAGGAGGGCGAUUACCACGGUAGGAUUCAUGACCGGGGUGAAGUCGUAACAAGGCAG